GACGAACGCUGGCGGCGUGCUUAAUACAUGCAAGUCGGACGGAAAGGCCCUGCUCUUGUGGGGUGCUUGAGAGGCGAACGGGUGAGUAACACGCGAGUAACCUGUACUUGUAUUUGGGAUAUAUUUAGGAAACUGGGGCUAAUACAGGAUAGAAGCUUCUGCAGCAUGGUGUGGGUUGGAAAGUUUCGGCGGUUGUGGAUGGUAUCGCGGCUUAUCAGCUUGUUGGUGGGGUAGUGACGUACCAAGGCUAUGACGGGUAGCCGGCCUGGGAAGGGAACCGGCGACAAUGGUCCUGCGGUACGCCCCAGACUCCUACGGGAGGCAGCAGUGGAGAAUAUUACACAGUGGCCGGAAGCCUGAGGCAGCAACGCUGCGUGCGUGAUGCCGGCCUUCGGGUUAUAAACCGCUGUCUCCUUUGACGUAGCGUGAGUGACGGUAAUGGGUAAAAAAGCACCGGCUAACUACGUG
rnacentral:rRNA from 1 species